UACGAAGGGUGCAAGCGUUAAUCGGAAUUACUGGGCGUAAAGCGUGCGCAGGCGGUUUGUUAAGUCCGUUGUGAAAGCCCCGAGCUCAACUUGGGAAUUGCAAUGGAUACUGGCAGGCUGGAGUAUGGUAGAGGAAGGUGGAAUUCCCGGUGUAGCAGUGAAAUGCGUAGAGAUCGGGAGGAACACCAGUGGCGAAGGCGGCCUUCUGGACCAAUACUGACGCUCAUGCACGAAAGCGUGGGGAGCAAACAGG
rnacentral:rRNA from 1 species